rnacentral:rRNA from 1 species
ACUCCUACGGGAGGCAGCAGUAGGGAAUCUUCGGCAAUGGACGGAAGUCUGACCGAGCAACGCCGCGUGAGUGAAGAAGGUUUUCGGAUCGUAAAGCUCUGUUGUAAGAGAAGAACGAGUAUGAGAGUGGAAAGUUCAUACUGUGACGGUAUCUUACCAGAAAGGGACGGCUAACUACGUGCCAGCAGCCGCGGUAAUACGUAGGUCCCGAGCGUUGUCCGGAUUUAUUGGGCGUAAAGCGAGCGCAGGCGGUUAGAUAAGUCUGAAGUUAAAGGACUGUGGCUUAACCAUAGUACGCUUUGGAAACUGUUUAACUUGAGUGCAAGAGGGAGAGUGGAAUUCCAUGUGUAGCGGUGAAAUGCGUAGAUAUAUGGAGGAACACCGGUGGCGAAAGCGGCUCUCUGGCUUGUAACUGACGCUGAGGCUCGAAAGCGUGGGGAGCAAACAGGAUUAGAUACCCUGGUAGGAUAGCG